CAAACGACUCUCGGCAACGGAUAUCCCGGCUCUCGCAUCGAUGAAGAACGUAGCGAAAUGCGAUACUUGGUGUGAAUUGCAGAAUCCCGUGAACCAUCGAGUUUUUGAACGCAAGUUGCGCCCGAUGCCAUUAGGUUGAGGGCACGUCUGCCUGGGUGUCACGU
rnacentral:rRNA from 3 species